GACGAACGCUGGCGGCGUGCUUAACACAUGCAAGUCGAACGAAGUGGCGAACGGGUUAGUAAUAUAUAGUUAAUCUGCCCUACACAGAGGAACAACAGUUGGAAACGCCUGCUAAUACCUCAUAGUGUAGGAUGAGACUAUAUCGUAUCAGCUAGUUGGUAAGGUAAUGGCUUACAAUUGCUAUGACGCGUAACUGGUCUGAGAGGAUGAUCAGUCACAUUGGAACGGAGAGACGGGCCAAACUGCUACGGGAGGCAGCAGUAAGGAAUAUUGCGCAAGGGGGGAAACCGUGAUGCAGCAACGCCGCGUGCGGGAUGACGGCAUUCGGGUUGUAAACCGCUUUCAGCCAGGACGCGGUAGUGGCAGAAGAAGCACCGGCUAACUACGUGCCAGCAGCCGCGGUAAUAC
rnacentral:rRNA from 1 species